UUCGUGUCUCUUCUUCUCCUUCUCUGAGUCGAUUGGCAACUGAUUUAACUUGUCGUAGUUGAGGGGAGUGUUGUCUGGUUCGAAGCCAACAGACUGAAGACGGCUCGUAGAUACGAAUUAGUUUCGGACCAGGCUUCAUUCCCCCCAACUCAUGAUCAUGUAAAUCUUCCAAAGAGAAGCUCUCAACCAAAUUCGAGUCGGGUAACAUAAAUAUGCAUCAGCUUUUUUUUCUUCAGAAGGAUAGAAAGAUGGUGAAUGGUUUCAGAUAAGGGAGUUCAAAAAUUAGGUUCUUGACAGUAUCUUCACUUCAAAGGUUCUUUGCACUGCCAUUAUUGCACUGUUCUAACAACUUGAGCCUAUUCUUUUUAUCCUUUUUUUUUUGAUAUUUUAUGAUCAGAUGAAGAAAAUAAAUUUAUCUUUGUAAAUAAAGAAACUAUCUAAAAUCCUCGUUAAUUAAUC